CCUACGGGAGGCAGCAGUAAGGAAUAUUGGUCAAUGGGCGCAAGCCUGAACCAGCCAUGCCGCGUGCAGGAAGACGGCCCUAUGGGUUGUAAACUGCUUUUGAACAAGAGAAAACCUCGGUACGUGUACCGAGCUGAUAGUAUUGUUAGAAUAAGCAUCGGCUAACUUCGUGCCAGCAGCCGCGGUAAGACGAAGGAUGCAAGCGUUAUCCGGAUUCAUUGGGUUUAAAGGGUGCGUAGGCGGCCUGAUAAGUCAGUGGUGAAAUCUCUCAGCUUAACUGAGAAACUGCCAUUGAUACUGUCGGGCUUGAGUACAGAUGAUGUGGGCGGAAUAUGACAUGUAGUGGUGAAAUACUUAGAUAUGUCAUAGAACACCGAUUGCGAAGGCAGCUCACAAAACUGUAACUGACGCUGAGGCACGAAAGUGCGGGGAUCAAACAGGAUUAGAUACCCUGGUAGUCCGCACCGUAAACGAUGAUUACUCGUUGUUGGCAAUAUGACCGUCAGCGACCAAAGCGAAAAGCGAAUAAGUAAAUUCCACCUGGGGAGUUACGCCGGCAACGGUUGAAACUUCAAANAGAGUUAGAGGNGNGAGAGNGCGACGGACGACACAGGAGAGG
rnacentral:rRNA from 1 species